rnacentral:tRNA from 1 species
UUCCUGCUGACUCAGAUGGUAAAGAAUCUGCCUGGAAUGCAGGAGACCCAGGUUCAAUUCCUGGGUAGGAAA